rnacentral:misc_RNA from 1 species
AACCAUUCUCACCUGCGGCUAGACCUGCGGAAGGAUCAUUAUUGAAUAAACUUGAUGGAUUGUUGCUGGUUCACUAUUGAGCAAGUGCACGUCUAUCAUUUUUAUCUUUCCACCAUGUGAACCCAUGCAUAGACCUGAUAAUAUUUUGUUAAUCAAACUUAGCUUUGAUUCCUGGAAAUUGCUGGUUGUAUAUCACAGCUUUUUCUGUAUAUCAGGUUCUAUGAAUUUUUAUUUAUACUC